GAUGAACGCUGGCGGCGUGCCUAAUACAUGCAAGUCGAGCGAACAGAUGAGGAGCUUGCUCCUCUGACGUUAGCGGCGGACGGGUGAGUAACACGUGGAUAACCUACCUACAAGACUGGGAUAACUUCGGGAAACCGGAGCUAAUACCGGAUAAUAUAUUGAACCGCAUGGUUCAAUAGUGAAAGACGGUUUUGCUGUCACUUAUAGAUGGAUCCGCGCCGCAUUAGCUAGUUGGUAAGGUAACGGCUUACCAAGGCAACGAUGCGUAGCCGACCUGAGAGGGUGAUCGGCCACACUGGAACUGAGACACGGUCCAGACUCCUACGGGAGGCAGCAGUAGGGAAUCUUCCGCAAUGGGCGAAAGCUUGACGGAGCAACGCCGCGUGAGUGAUGAAGGUCUUCGGAUCGUAAAACUCUGUUAUUAGGGAAGAACAAAUGUGUAAGUAACUAUGCACGUCUUGACGGUACCUAAUCAGAAAGCCACGGCUAACUACGUG
rnacentral:rRNA from 1 species